UACGUAGGGUGCGAGCGUUAAUCGGAAUUACUGGGCGUAAAGCGUGUGUAGGCGGUUCGUUAUGUCUGCUGUGAAAUCCCCGGGCUCAACCUGGGACUGGCAGUGGAAGCUGGCGGGCUUGAGUGUGGCAGAGGGGGGUGGAAUUCCGCGUGUAGCAGUGAAAUGCGUAGAGAUGCGGAGGAACACCGAUGGCGAAGGCAGCCCCCUGGGCUAACACUGACGCUGAGGCACGAAAGCGUGGGGAGCAAACAGG
rnacentral:rRNA from 1 species